AACGAACGCUGGCGGCAUGCCUAACACAUGCAAGUCGAACGAGACCUUCGGGUCUAGUGGCGCACGGGUGCGUAACGCGUGGGAACCUGCCAUUAGGUUCGGAAUAACUCCCCGAAAGGGGUGCUAAUACCGGAUAAUGUCUUCGGACCAAAGAUUUAUCGCCUUUGGAUGUGCCCGCGUUGGAUUAGCUAGUUGGUAGGGUAAAAGCCUACCAAGGCGAGGAUCCAUAGCUGGUCUGAGAGGAUGAUCAGCCACACUGGGACUGAGACACGGCCCAGACGCGUACGGGAGGCAGCGGUGGGGAAUAUUUGAGAAGGGGCGAGAGCCUGAUCCAGCAAGGCCGCGUGAGUGAUGAAGGCCUUAGGGUUGUAAAUCUCUUUUACCCGGGAUGAUAAUGACAGUACCGGGAGAAGAAGCACCGGCUAACUCCGUG
rnacentral:rRNA from 1 species